AAGUAAAAUUAAAGUAGUUUUUGCAAAAUAUUCCAGGCCUUUAAUUGCCUAUCUACACUUUUCAUAAGUGCUAUAAAAUCUAUCAAAGAUAUGGUGCAGAAACAACUCUUUAAAUUGUCCCAAUGAAUCUGUUUCCUACAACAAUAUUUAUUUUUUGCUUAUAAUUGUUACAGACAUUAAUGGCAUAAGAGUUAAGUAUUUUUCUAAUUAAAUACAAUUUAAUACUAAAAAAUAAUUGAUUAUUAAACAGAAUGUAUCAUUAAAAUUACUUUAUGCCAGACGAGCGUCUGAUUCCCACGUAUACUGUCACUAAACAAUCCUAUCUAAGCUAAUCUUCCUACAGUUUUAGACAUCUGCGAGACAAGGUCGCUAAAGAAAAGAUCAUUUUAGAUGCUUUAGUUCAGCCAUAUUAUAUUAUACAUUCUUUUGUUUACUGGAAAACCAUUCAGGAAGACCUUGGGCAUUCAACUCAAAUCGCAACUCCAAUAGACACUGAUCUAUUCAUGAUUUUGUUACUGUUUAGCCGGGCCGAAAUAUAUAAGCUCCAAAAAAUUCAUGGUGUUCAGUUGUCCAUCGCAGGAGGCAAGGACUAGUAAGAAAUUACAAUGAAUUCUGUACUGAUAACAUUCGCCGUUAUGCUCUCUGCUGCAGCGGCCGACCCAGCUGUUGUAAUAAGCAAUGGCUUACUGACUUCACCAUCAGCCGCAUACAUUGCCUCAUCACCUUUGGUUUCACCUGUAGGAGCACCUUUCGCAUCUCUCAACUCACUCCCCGUGUCCUCACUACCGUACACGGCCGUGUCUGACUACAGAUACUCCUAUGGUUCAGCCCUAAGCUAUCAGGAUUACGCGCCAGUUGCCCUAACUGGAUCAGCUGUAUCGCUUCCUUACACCUUGCCUUAUGCCUAUGCUGCUGAUUGGUACUACCGGAAGUAACCAACUAGAAGUACAGAGCGAGUUUUCCGAUACUGUUGAUUCCUUCCAAUGUUUGUUUGUUAUGCGUAUUUUAAUUAAAGUGUUAUUUUAA